ACGGGUGAGUAAUACAUCGGAACGUAUCCUGGAGUGGGGGAUAGCCCGGCGAAAGCCGGGUUAAUACCGCAUACGCUCUGAGGAGGAAAGCGGGGGACCUUCGGGCCUCGCGCUCAAGGGGCGGCCGAUGGCGGAUUAGGUAGUUGGUGGGGUAAAGGCCUACCAAGCCGACGAUCCGUAGCUGGUCUGAGAGGACGACCAGCCACACUGGGACUGAGACACGGCCCAGACUCCUACGGGAGGCAGCAGUGGGGAAUUUUGGACAAUGGGGGCAACCCUGAUCCAGCAAUGCCGCGUGUGUGAAGAAGGCCUUCGGGUUGUAAAGCACUUUUGUCCGGAAAGAAAUCAUCGGGGCCAAUACCCCUGGUGGAUGACGGUACCGGAAGAAUAAGCACCGGCUAACUACGUGCCAGCAGCCGCGGUAAUACGUAGGGUGCGAGCGUUAAUCGGAAUUACUGGGCGUAAAGCGUGCGCAGGCGGUGCUGUAAGACCGAUGUGAAAUCCCCGGGCUUAACCUGGGAACUGCAUUGGUGACUGCAGCGCUGGAGUAUGGCAGAGGGGGGUGGAAUUCCACGU
rnacentral:rRNA from 1 species